rnacentral:rRNA from 1 species
UACGGGGGGGGCAAGCGUUGUUCGGAAUUACUGGGCGUAAAGGGCUCGUAGGCGGCCAACUAAGUCGGAUGUGAAAUCCCCAGGCUCAACCUGGGAACUGCAUCCGAUACUGGAUGGCUUGAAUUCGGGAGAGGGAUGCAGAAUUCCAGGUGUAGCGGUGAAAUGCGUAGAUAUCUGGAGGAAUACCGGUGGCGAAGGCGGCAUCCUGGACCGACAUUGACGCUGAGGAGCGAAAGCGAGGGGAGCAAACGGG